GUGAGGAAUUUUUCGCAAUGGGCGAAAGCCUGACGGAGCAAUGCCGCGUGAAGGAUGAAGGCCUAUGGGUUGUAAACUUCUUUUCUCAGAAAAGAAUUAUGACGGUAUCUGAGGAAUAAGCAUCGGCUAACUCUGUGCCAGCAGCCGCGGUAAGACAGAGGAUGCAAGCGUUAUCCGGAAUGAUUGGGCGUAAAGCGUCUGUAGGUUGUUUAAAAAGUAUUCUGUCAAAGAUUAGGGCUUAACCCUAGAUAGGCAGAAUAAACUUUUAAGCUAGAGUUUGGUAGAGGCAGAGGGAAUUCCCGGUGGAGCGGUGAAAUGCGUAGAUAUCGGGAGGAACACCAAAGGCGAAGGCACUCUGCUGGGCCAAUACUAACACUGAGAGACGAAAGCGAGGGGAGCAAAUGGGAUUAGAUACCCGAGUAGUCC
rnacentral:rRNA from 1 species